ACUACACCAACCACGACAACCACAACAACCACGACACCAGCCACAACACCUGAUCCAAAACAGUUUGUAAUUGGUCUGAGAAUGCGGAUUUCCAAUUUGUUUCCACUGUCUGAGGAAGUCAUCAGGACGACCGUCAUACAACAGAUUAAAGAUGAAAUGAUAAGACGAGGGUUGCCAUCGGCCGCCACCCUUCGCCUCUUGAGCAGUAUGCAGCUGGGAUCUAACAGCACAGCGACCCCUGUUGUUACGUGAUCAAUUAUUGACUUUUCCUGCACAUCAGUGCACUGGUUUCAUUGCUCAAGACAAGUGACCGACAUGCUCCACUGUUUAAUGUGCGUGUGCCACCUUUUUACUUCAUUAUCGGACAAUGGGAUUCAGCAAUUUAAAUGAAGGUUUUGUAUAAUUUUACUUUUAUCGCUUUCAUGUAUAACACUUGAAUGUAUGAAUGCCCUGUCAGGGAUGCUAUAUUUCUUUUUACAUUUUUUUAUUUGACCGUAUUGUGAUUAUUCUGACCAAUAUUGCGAUUGCAAUGUUCUUCACAAUUAAUGAAAAUGAUCAGUAAUAUCAUAAUUUUCAUUUAAACAGAAAAAACUAUUGAAAUCAUUAUGUUAGGUUUUUUUGUCUGUGCCAAAAAACAUGUUUUCUUACAACUGGAGAACAAGAUUAAAAAAAAAAAAAAAUUUAAUGCCUUUUAUUUUUAGCCCAAUGUGUACUUGUUACAUGUCUGUUUAUAAUAAAUCCAACUGUAAAACAAACUUAUUUUUUAGUAAAACUAAGCUUCAGUGAAUUUAAAAAUGUCAACACAAAAACAUCAAACUGCUUUGACAAACUAGGUCAGCCAAGUAUGAUUCAGAGCUCCGACGUCUCAUCGUGACUGUUGGAAACGGUGAGUAGAGCCUCGCCUUCAUUUUUUCAAAUUAGCCGCAGUGGCUUCACUUAAAGUAUUUGUACAGAACUGGUCUGUCCACUUGACCCAGUCUGGCUUCCUAAAGUACUGUAUGUCUGAUGAAAGACGCUGCCUGAGAUUUUUUAGAGUUAUUCAAUCAGCAAGUGUC